rnacentral:tRNA from 1 species
GCGGCAGUUUCGGACCGAUCGCUGGCGGAAGUGGUGGUGCUUGGGCUCCGCUGGGACUGUGGACCCCGCCCUGUGGGGACCGAGGUGCCACGGCUGGGCUGGGUGAGCCCAGACCUAUGACGUUGGCGUGCAGGUCACCCGAGGGGGGGGACCCUGCGACGUGCCCGCCCUCUCUAGACUCCAUCCACAGCCCCGGGGGCAGGCGCCGGGGAUCCCAGAAGCAAGUAACAGUCGAGACCGCGGCCGGCGUGUUUCGAGCGCCUACAACGUGCCAAGCGCUGGGCUUGGUUCUGUGAUUUAACUGCUGUGAGGCGCUUAGCCCCGGUUUUACAGACCCUGAAACUGAGCCUCUCGAGAUGUUUUGAGAUUGUGAGACGUGGAAUAACUGGAGCAAAACAGUGUAGAGGAAAGCGUAUGGGACUUGACCUUCGUUCGAAGUAGCUUCUGGUGAAGCAGGACCAGUAAAUUGCAGUGAAGAGUUCCAUCAGAAAGGAAAUGAAGAAAGAUACCCAGGAGUUGGGGGCCUAUCACCCUGACGAAAUCCUGCUGGGUGGGCCAUGUGAGGUCCCUCUGCCCUUGAUGGAAUCCUGAUUUUGCUACAAAGGAGGAAUGCUUUAUCCAGGACUUCUUUUGAGAGACUGGAUACACAGAUGGACAAUGGCCAAGCCAUAUAUGAGAAUAGAACUCUGACCCACAAUCCGCAUGAGCCACCCAGGAAACGAACCCCCUUAGGCCUGAUCAAGAGCCCAGGAAGCCAGCCUGCUGUCCAUCAGACGUGCUGGAAACUGCUUUGAUGUCUCUAGCAACAAGGCAGGAGGCACAGCAAUACCUUCUGUGACAAUCAGCCCAGGAUGGCUGGGACUGGAUUCUGCACUGCCAGCUUCCCUAAUUUUUGUCCCUGUUUCUAAUUUAGGACCAACAAGAAAAAACCAAAUAUGCUCCCUUAACAAUUGCAUGGAACACCCCGCUUCUAGUAGCUCACUUCCUGCUCUUCAGGCCCACAACUUCCAAUCAGGGCACACCUGAGGUCUCCCCAACCUCCCCAUAAAGCUCUCCCACUCUGCUAACUGCUUUUCCCCCUCCCUUUCUUUUCUUUGUCUUUUUUCUUUUUUUCUAGCUGUGGCAUGCAGCAGCUUGAUGUGGGAUCUCAGUUCCCAGACCAGGGAUUGAACCUGGGCCAUAGUGGUGAAAGCACUGAAUCCAAACCACUAGGCCAUCAGGAGUGGUCUUUAUUUCCAUGCUUUCCGUCCACUUCUUUGAUUACAACAGACGUGACCUUCCUUGGGGGCUAGAGAGCCUUCUCAUCCACCACAGGCUCACCUCGGCUUGUACCUGAGAAAAGACAGCCCUCCGCCCACCCACCUGUGUGGAGGGGCCCAGCUUGCGGGGUGCCUUCCCGAAGGUCCCUAGAACAAAGAAUCCCUCGCCUUCCACAGCCUGUGGGUUUUCUACAGGCCAAGACACUCAUCAGCCGCUCAGGCUGCCUGGAAGCCAAACCCUAAGGUGCUGGGUUUCGUGUACAGGUGGUUGACUGUGGUGGGAUCUUGGGAUCAGCACCUGUGGGAAGUGGAGGAGGCAAACGUGGACAAAGGGAGAAGCUGAGGAGUUCCCAUCGUGGCUCAGUGGUUAACGAACCUGACUAGGAACCAUGAAGUUGCGGGUUCGAUCCCUGGCCUUGCUCAAUGGGUUAAGGAUCUGGUGUUGCUGUGAGCUGUGGUGUAGGUCGCAGAUGUGGCUCAGAUCUUGGGUUGCUGUGGCUGUGGUCUAGGACAGCAGCUACAGCUCUGAUUAGACCCCUAGCCUGGGAAC